UUAGUAACAAUAAAACUUUAAUGCUUUAAUGUUUUUUUUUAAAUUACACUGCCUGUGCCAAGUGGAAAAAAAACAGCAGUGAAGGAUGAAGUAAUGUUUACUAAAUCUCUGUCCUCCCCUCUGUGGUUUCCCAUCAUCCUGUGCAGGUCUUUGACCUUUUUUAACUUUGAAUGCCCUGCAGUGAUGCAACGCUCUGACAUACCAAUCUGCCAACACCUCUCCUACACACAGCAAUCCUGUGAGGCCCUUUUGUGAAACACACACACACACACACACACACACACACACACACACACACACACACACACACACACACACACACACACACACACUGAAGCCCUGCUGUUAUUGCUCAUGUGACUUAUUCGUAAAACAUGGUCACACUGCAAAUGAGCUACCAAUCAAUAUACGGUGAAAACAUCGGGCGAGAGACAUAGAGUUAUAGUGUAAGAGAGAGAGACAAUGAGGAAAAGCAGAAGUAAGGAGAAAACGAAAUGACAACAUCACUGUUUGGCUUUCAUGUGACGAGCGAGGACAGAGAGGGCCUGUAACGUAAAGGUCGGGAUGAGACAGACACACUCGAUGAUGUCGAGAUCAGGGCUCCGUAGGGGCCGUGCCGUCGCUUCGUGCCGGUUCGAAGGCAAAAGCUAGAGAGUGUCAUCAGAGAGUGUCAGGCGUCAUCGGGCAUCGAGGCAGGACACACCCUGGACGGAGUGCCAACCCAUCGCAGGACACACACACACACUCUCAUUCACUCACACACACUCACACACUACGGACAAUUUUCCAGAGA